AAAUGAAGGCACAAUCUUUCCAUCACCAUGUUUGCAGACACUAUAUAUUGAAGCUGAUUCAGUUAUUGAUGGACAAGCAAUCACUCCAGGGUGUCGGGUUAGGACAGUUAAAGUAUAUGUUCAGUGGUGAAUAUUGUUAGGAACUACACAGCUGAUUAUGACAAAACUCUAAUUUUCAACAAGAUCCAUCAUAAACUGAACCAGUUCUGCAGCGUGCACACUCUGCAGGAGGUCUACAUUGAGUUGUUUGAUAUUAUAGAUGAGAUUCUGAAGACUGCAUUACAGAAGGAUCUUAAUGCGAUGGCACCUGGACUAAAGUCUGCAUAUUAUAUUUGAUAAAUGAGGCC